AGAGAGAAGAUAUUACCUCUGGCAAAGUCACCUGAUGUCCGUUCUUCCCUCGGCUCUCCUCACUGUUGCUCAUCCUGACUGCACACAUUGCCUCAGCACUACUGUUCAAAAACAGAUGGAUUUUUGGAGGUGCUGCAUGCUUCUAUCUCCUACAGAAACUAUGAUGAGAAAGAGUCAAAAAUGGCAGUCCAUGGAGUGGCAACAUGUGAAUUCCAAUCAAAUAAAAAUUUCAAGACAUAGCCCUCAGCAAGUAAAGUGAUGCACGUUUUCUUUCGCGAUAGAAAAGGAGUGAUGGUUCUGGUUUUACCAGAAACUGGACAAAUCUUCUAUUCUGCUACAACGUGACACUGACUAAGCUGAAGACUCAAACUUCCAGAUUCACAUCGGAGAAGACAACAACCUUUCUCUUGAUAUGAAUAGCACCAGGAUGCAUAUCAGUUUGAAGACUGAGGGGCACAUUAUCAGAUUUGGCUGAAAUGUCUUAUCACACUCACCAUAUAGUCUGGAUUUGGGACCUUCUAACUUCCAUCUGUUCAGGCUGAUGAAAGAUGGACUGCAUGUGUAACAUUUUCCUAGCAAGGAUGCCAUAAUUGCAGCUGUGAAACAGUGUGUCACUGCCCCUGGUGCAGAUUUUUGCAAGCACAGCAUGUAAGCUCUUUUCCAUCACUGUUGAAAAUGCACAGCUAAUGGUGGUGACUAUGUUGGAGAAGAAGUGCUUUGUAGCUGAGAAUUUGCUCUAUCAAACAGUGUUACUGUGCUCUUUGUAUCUGUUGUACUUUCCAUGGAAAUAAAUCAGAGAUAUGACAUUCGGAGCAACCUGCAUAGCAUAUACCAAGGUCCAAUCAACUCCAGACUGCAUCAACCAAUUGUACAUAACUACAAAAAAGAAUGGAUUUCACACCAUGUCCUCUACUGUGACUCAUGCAGCUGCUUGUCUUCAUAGUUUUUUAUCUGAAGACAGCUGUAGCUAGCUAGCUUUUAUGCAGCAUUCCAGUCACAGCUGCACAGUAGGGUCUGGCAGCUUUGACUGGGUUAGAUGAAACAGACCUUUGGAGCUAACCCCCUAUUAUACAACAGUUCAUAUCUCAUUCUUCUCUUUCCUAUGGUCCCAAUCUAGCUGUUACCUUGCAAUAGUGAUACUUCUGGUCUUAUUAUUAUUUCUAGCAAAACAUCUCACCAUGAAGCUGGAAGUUUCUUUUAAGAAUCUGCGUGGAGUAUACCUGUUAAAAUACUUUUUUUUUUUUUUUUUUCAGAUUUGAAUCUAGUACAAAAUAAGCAGUGAAUACUGAAUACGACAUCUUGUGAAUAAGAAAUACAUUAAAAUAUAUUUGGCAUCCCACUUGUAAACAUGUUUACUAGUACUCCUGAUCCUUUGAACAGUUGCAAGUUACAAGGAGUCAGAUCUUACUGAACACAGCACACCAAGUAAAAUCUCUACUGCUUAAACAAACAAACCAUAGGGAUAUUCCCCACAGGGGAAAAUCCCAGAUGAAUUAGUCAGUCUGUCAGCUCGAGUCUUUCAUGUCUAUAUCAGUUUACAACAAAACUCAUUUUUUUCACAGAGGAAUAUUACAUCUAAAUUACUAUAUUGUUUUACUAAUUUCUUGUCUCCGAGACCCAAGCAUGGCAUACAGUACUGCCAUGUAUGGUACAGAACUUCAGAAUUUCACUUUGUGAUCUCUCAUUCUUCAGGUAUUCCCUAAUGUUGAAACUCUUCUGAGCUUUCUCAUUUCUCCAUAACUCUUGUAAAUGCCUCAAUUUUUUUUUCAUGUGAGAUGACUUUUCCCCUAAGGGAGAAACGUUAAAGCACACUGUAUAAAUGAACCAAGCUAGAAAAGUAAGAAAUGCUUUUUCAAAAUACAUAAAGAAAAUAUUUUGAUCCUUUUAUUUCUUCAUGGAGAGUUUUAAUUAAGACACACAUCUUAAUGAGGGAUGUGAGCUCAUAGGUUGUCUGAACCCUUCUUUGUUUUUGGCUAAAGCUUGUUUGCUGAAGCAUUCCUUGUGAUAAAGACUCUGACUUAUCUGGGAGACAAGAGGUGGGUGUUGUCAAGUGGCAGGCAUCACCUUGUGGACAAGCUGUCACUCCAAAAAGAGCUGACUCAGCCACUCUGGACUUAUAAAUAAGUUUGUACUGCCACUAGAAAGCGUCACCGUUGUCACCUUUGUCACUGUUAUCUCAGUCGUCGGUUGUCAAUUGAACAACAACAUCCAACGACACACCACUAUUGAAAUCAAUGACUGAACUACGAGCUACACUGGACCCAUGGUGGUGACUAUCUCCCCCAUGCUCUCUACAAAGUCUCCUUGCUUUUAUUUCCAAUCUUUUGUACUGUUUCCCCCUCCCCAUCUCCCUAAAUGACUAGGAUUUGUAUUAAACUGCUUGGACC
ensembl:lncRNA